CGGACGGGUGAGUAAUGUCUGGGAAACUGCCUGAUGGAGGGGGAUAACUACUGGAAACCGGUAGCUAAUACCGCAUAACGUCGCAAGACCAAAGAGGGGGACCUUCGGGCCUCUUGCCAUCGGAUGUGCCCAGAUGGGAUUAGCUAGUAGGUGGGGUAACGGCUCACCUAGGCGACGAUCCCUAGCUGGUCUGAGAGGAUGACCAGCCACACUGGAACUGAGACACGGUCCAG
rnacentral:rRNA from 1 species